rnacentral:lncRNA from 1 species
CCAUCUCCCACCCCCCUUCCAGGCUCUUGAAGGAGCCUUCCCUACCCCCACCCCUCCCAUGCAGGCUAGCUGCCUUGUUUGCCUUGGAAGCCAGCAGGGCAGGUAAAUAGCCCCAGGCAGCUCCCAGCUGUCACACUGAGCCCAAGACCAGGAGGAACCUGCUUGGGUGGGCGCGGAGAACGGGCCAGGCUGAGCCCAAGGAGCCUUCAGUUUGGGGGGGGGGGUGGUCAAGUUUCAGGGAUGGACCAUCUGUGGCUGGGGAAGGGGGAUGAGAUUAAGGGGCCUGAGAGGAGGCAGGCCAGGGGAGCCCAGAGCCUGGCAGGGGACUCACCUCACUCCUGUGUGAAGGAAGAGAUCCGGUUGGCUUGACCCUGAGGCCAAGAGAUGGGGUGCUGCUCCCUCCCCCACCUACAUACAUAGUUUCCCAACCACCUUCACCCCCUCCCCACACUGCUCACCUCCCUGGCACACUGACACAGUGGCUGCUGGUGCCCUUCCUCAGGGGUGUCUGCCUGGUGCCACUCAAUGCUGCCAGUCUGGCCCAGCCCAGCUCAGGGGAGGGACGACAGAGUCCAGGGCCAGUGCAAGAUAUGGCCCACAGCCCAGGAGGAACCGGACAAAUAUUAACUAGCCCCACCUCCUCCCGUGUAAGCAAUCCUCCAUCAGGACAGAGCUAUUGAUGAGUGACCCUGGCCUCUCCUGCCUGGGCUAUGACCAAUCUUCUGGUGCCCUUCUGGGGCAACAUCGCUGUCGGCCACAUGGCCAACCUCAGGUCCCCCCUCCAAGCCUGGCUAUCUGCCCUACUUGAAUUUAAGCUGGACGAGUCAUCAGAGUCCAGCAACAAGACAAAAGUCAAGAUGACUGGCGAUGGCCCAGGAUGCAGUGGAUGGCCUCGGUGUCUUUGCUGUCUGCCCAAGCUCUAAGAGCUCCACAGCACCUGCUUCAGCCACCUUCGUGGCCAUGGGAACAAAUUGUCCAAGUCUUCACAUGCUCGGGGUAGACACCCCCCCACCCCCAACUCACUAAUGGGUUUGAGGCCUAUCAGUUACUCUCAACCUGGUUUAGCCAAUCUGCUGUGUAUGUUUCCCUUAAGCCACUCACCUAUUAUCCCUGGAUCUCAAUAGAUGUGACUAGCCCACAUCAUUUCCCAGUCAUCCAUGGCCUUUGUUGAAUAUAAUUUAUAUUGUAUUAUGGUCUGGAAAAGAUUCAUCUAAUAUUUCUUCUUUUUUGCAUUUGUUUG